rnacentral:rRNA from 1 species
UUUGAAAUUUAUAUUUUAGUAAAAAAGCUAAAAUUGUUUAUAGGGACGAGAAGACCCUAUCAAGUUUUACAAUCCAAAAUUUAUUUUCAAAUUAAAUUUAAAAUUGUUUUGCUGGGGCAGCAGAUAAAAAUUUUUUAUUUUAAAAUUAUGAUAAAUAAAUCUUGAAAAAUCAAAAAAUUUUUAAUUAAAAAUAAAUUACUGUAGGGAUAACAGCAUAAUUUUUUUAGAGAGUUCUUAUCAUCAAAAAAGUUUGUGACCUCGAUGUUGGAUUAAAAUUCCUAAUUCGUGCAAUAAUGAAAUAA